ACCCGUCGACUUGUCGAACCAUGAUAUCCACCUCCCAAUCUCGUAUCAGCUUUCCACUUUUGAGAAUUCCCAGACUCGUCUGGACCUUUUCUGCUCCAUCAUCUUGUAUUCACAAUCGCUCCGCGCUCGACGGAAACGUACUCCUGGGAUUUAUACAUAAUUUCAAUUUUCCGACUUUGAAGAGUCUUCUUGAUUAAUUCCAAAGGUCGUCGUACGCCUCAAC
rnacentral:lncRNA from 1 species